rnacentral:rRNA from 1 species
CACGUAGGGUGCGAGCGUUGUCCGGAAUUAUUGGGCGUAAAGAGCUCGUAGGCGGUGUGUCACGUCGGCCGUGAAAACCUGCAGCUUAACUGUGGGCGUGCGGUCGAUACGGGCAUCACUGGAGUUCGGCAGGGGAGACUGGAAUUCCUGGUGUAGCGGUGAAAUGCGCAGAUAUCAGGAGGAACACCGGUGGCGAAGGCGGGUCUCUGGGCCGAAAUUGACGCUGAGGAGCGAAAGCGUGGGGAGCAAACAGG